GCAGCAGGUCUCAGGUAGCAGGCCCAGGGAAGUCCGUCAGCAUACGGUCCGUAGAGAAGGAUCUGAAGGCAGAAACCUCGAGUCCGUCGUGGUGCGGGAUCUGAUGGCAGAAAACCUUCUCUAGUCUGUCGCGGUAUUCUCUGCUUCUGGAUAGGUACCAGCAUUGUUUGAUACCCUUCUCUAGAAGACACUUAACAUAAAGUGAUGAUCAGCUUCAGCGUCUAAUAAGGCAGCCAUUCUGAACACAUCGAGACAAAAAAGUGGUUUCCCUAGCAACAAGAACCAUGCCAAAGCUCUCAGAACAGAAGGAAGGAAGGAAGGAAGGAAGGAAGGAACGAAGGAAGGAAGGAAGGAAGGAAGGAACGAAGGAAGGAAGGAAGGAAGAGAAAGAAAGGAAGAGAAAGAAAGGAAGAGAAAGAAAGGAAGAGAAAGAAAGGAAGAAAGUGAGGAUCAGCUGCUACAGUGAAAAUACUAGAAAUUCCUCCAUUCAUUGAGAUUACACUUCAUCAGGGCAAGAAAUCUUUGAAUUUUGUAUCCAAGAAGGAACAAAUCCACAGCUAAAUAUGAACUGUUGUCACUCAGCAAAGCCAGUGCACUAGUGUCAAGUUUCUAUUCAUGUUUUCAUCACUUAGUUUUUACUCUUUCUCUCUGAAUGUUGCUGAUGAGUUUUAAUUCAUCCUGAAUCUCUCAGCUUUCCUCUUCUGAUGAGUUCAUUAUAUGUGGGUCAUUCCAAAAGUAAUGCCUCCUAUUUAUUCCCAUGGUAACUAAAACAGAAACAAAGAGAGCAAUUACACUGUACAAUAGAACAAGUUCUCGACUACAAAACACUGUUUUGCAGCACAGUUACCACCACUAGCUAUACAUUUUCAGCAGCCAUGGACAAGAUCCUGCAAUCCCAGCUGGUAAAAAUCUGCAAGUCCUCUUGGAACAUAGUUUGUCUUUAACGUCGCUGUCACCGCCGCUAAAACGCACCCCUACCUCCUCACUGUGCUCACAUCCACUGUGUGGUCUCCAUAAAUGUUCAGCAAUUGUCAGCGAAUGUCAAUAGGAACAACUUUUUCAGCGAUGAAUUCGGUGAUACAUCUUUGCUUCUGUCGCACUUCCAUGUCAGACGCCAUUCUUCCAGACUGCCCCUCUGCUGUCAUCUGUCACACGGCAACAAAAUGUAAUGGAAUACUGGUACGAAGUUUCCAUCCCCACCAACAUCCACCUUUGACUUUGUGGGCCAAGAUAAUAAAAAAAGAGGGAUCACUUGUAUAUAUUCUCUUCUAUCAAGGAAAGAAUAAAGUUACAUUAAAAUAAUCGCUUCUGUUAU
rnacentral:lncRNA from 1 species